CACCGCGGUUACACGAGGGGCUCAAGUUAAUAAUCGCGGCACAAAGCGUGAUUAAAAAUUGCAGUUCCAUUUAUAUAGAAGCCAUUACGCUUACUGGUUAAAUAGGUAUGCUUAACUAUUUCUUAUCGAAAGAAUCUAUAAUACACACUUUAUUUGAUAUCACGAAAGCAAAACUA
rnacentral:rRNA from 1 species